UCUGGUUGAUCCUGCCAGUAGUGAUAUGCUUGUUUCAAAGAUUAAGCCAUGCAUGUCUAAGUAUAAGCGAACUUAUACAGUGAAACUGCGGAUGGCUCAUUAAAACAGUUUGAAUUUAUUUGAUGAAUGUAUGAGAAUACUACUUGGAUAACCGUAGUAAUUCUAGAACUAAUACAUGCAACGACGCCCGACCGUUUCAUUACGGAAGGGCUGUAUUUAUUGGAUACCAAAACCAUCCUUCCCUCGGGAAGUUUUGUUUGAUGAUUCGCAAUAACUGAUCGGAUCGCCACUGUGGUGGCGACAGGUCAUUCAACAUUCUGCCCUAUCAGCUUUCGAUGGUUGUGUAGUGGACAACCAUGGCCAUAACGGGUAACGGAGAAUCAGGGUUCGAUUCCGGAGAAGGAGCUUGAGAAUUGGCUACUACAUCUAAGGAAGGCAGCAGGCGCGCAAAUUACCCAAUCCCGAUUCGGGGAGGUAGUGACAAAAAAUAACAAUACCGGGCCUUUUUGGGCUUGGUAAUUGGAAUGAGGGAGAGUUAAACGGACCAUCGAGUAUCCAUUGGAGGGCAAGUCUGGUGCCAGCAGCUGCGGUAAUACCAGCUCCAAUAGCGUAUAUUAAAGUUGUUGCAGUUAAAAAGCUCGUAGUUGGACUUGUGUGCGCUGUCCGCGGGUGGCCUGCGCCCAAAAGGGCGUUUCGGUUCGGCCCCGGUGGCGCCUUGAAAUCUGCAGCUGGGGGGACGUUGGCCUUAACUGGUCGGCGACCGCACGCCGGCUGCUCGGUUACUGUGAGAAAAUUAGAGUGUUCAAGGCAGGCAUUGGGUGCAAUUGAAUACAUUAGCAUGGAAUAAUAAAAUAUGGCUCCUGCCGUAUUUUGUUGGUUUUGACUGGUGGGAGUAAUGAUUGAUAGGGACGGUUGGGGGUGCUAGUAUUGAGCGGCCAGAGGUGAAAUUCAUGGAUUCGCUCAAGACUAACUCAUGCGAAAGCAUUCACCAAGGACGUCCUCUUUAAUCAAGAACGAAAGUUGGGGGAUCGAAGACGAUUAGAUACCGUCGUAGUCUCAACCAUAAACUAUGUCGACUUGGGAUCGGCGGUAGUUUUUUCAUUAAGGCACUGUCGGGACCACGGGAGAAAUCAAAGUGUCUGGACUCUGGGGGAAGUAUGGUCGCAAGGCUGAAACUUGAAGGAAUUGACGGAAGGGCACCACCAGGAGUGGAGCCU
rnacentral:rRNA from 1 species